rnacentral:rRNA from 1 species
CCUACGGGUGGCUGCAGUGGGGAAUAUUGGACAAUGGGGGCAACCCUGAUCCAGCCAUGCCGCGUGUGUGAAGAAGGCCCUCGGGUUGUAAAGCACUUUCAGUGAGGAAGAACGCCUGGUGGUUAAUACCCAUCAGGAAAGACAUCACUCACAGAAGAAGCACCGGCUAACUCCGUGCCAGCAGCCGCGGUAAUACGGAGGGUGCGAGCGUUAAUCGGAAUUACUGGGCGUAAAGCGCGCGUAGGUGGCUUGAUAAGCCGGUUGUGAAAGCCCCGGGCUCAACCUGGGAACGGCAUCCGGAACUGGCAAGCUAGAGUGCAGGAGAGGAAGGUAGAAUUCCCGGUGUAGCGGUGAAAUGCGUAGAGAUCGGGAGGAAUACCAGUGGCGAAGGCGGCCUUCUGGACUGACACUGACACUGAGGUGCGAAAGCGUGGGUAGCAAACAGGAUUAGAUACCCCGGUAGUC